rnacentral:rRNA from 2 species
ACCCGCUGAACUUAAGCAUAUGGGAAU